GGUAGCAGGAUUCAGUAUCUAGAAGUACUACUACUCUUAUUACAACCUUCAAUUACGUUCCAUGCUGCGCAAUGCGCGAGUUCUUGGAUGCAUCGCGUGUUGUCCAGUAAUAAAUUUGCAUUCAUAUAGUUUGUGUCAUAUAUCACAACAAACUCUCAGGCCUUGUCAAAUAUAUUGAAUUUGCAUUUCUUUUUGUCACUUUUUAAUAUGAAUUGAUGUAAUUCAUAUUAAAGACCUCGCUAAUCCAUGAUCUGACCAUCCAUGAUUGCCCGAAAUUUGAGUUGCCAUCUCUUCCAUCUGUUAAAGACCUCUUUGCAGUUGGACGUAACUAUGAGUCACUGAUGUCAAUCUGUAGUUUCAAUGGUCAUGACACUCUCUACCUUUGUGUAGGUAAAGAAAUGAAAUCUUUCCCAUAGAGGAUUUUGAGAACCGUUAAACCAAGCUUUAGAGUGUCUGCAUAUCUUAUACUGUGAUGAGCCUGAGUCUUUUCCGGAGAAAAUGUGGAAAGGUCUACGAUUCGAACAAUGGAAUUUGCUUGGUAUAAAGGAUUGAAAUCCUUGCAAGAAGGAUAUUGCACUCUUGUCACUUCAUUAUUAUCAUGCAGUGCAUGUUAGUUUCUGUAAUGUUUUUCAAUGAUAAGUUCAAAUCAUUGUGUUUUCUUUUA